rnacentral:rRNA from 1 species
GAGGAACGCUGGCGGCGUGCCUAAUACAUGCAAGUCGAGCGAAUGGAUUAAGAGCUUGCUCUUAUGAAGUUAGCGGCGGACGGGUGAGUAACACGUGGGUAACCUGCCCAUAAGACUGGGAUAACUCCGGGAAACCGGGGCUAAUACCGGAUAACAUUUUGAACCGCAUGGUUCGAAAUUGAAAGGCGGCUUCGGCUGUCACUUAUGGAUGGACCCGCGUCGCAUUAGCUAGUUGGUGAGGUAACGGCUCACCAAGGCAACGAUGCGUAGCCGACCUGAGAGGAUGAUCGGCCACACUGGGACUGAGACACAGCCCAGACUCCUACGGGAGGCAGCAGUAGGGAAUCUUCCGCAAUGGACGAAAGUCUGACGGAGUAACGCCGCGUGAGUGAUGAAGGCUUUCGGGUCGUAAAACUCUGUUGUUAGGGAAGAACAAGUGCUAGUUGAAUAAGCUGGCACCUUGACGGUACCUAACCAGAAAGCCACGGCUAACUACGUGCCAGCAGCCGCCGCUG